AACACACCCCUAUAAUCAUUCCUCUCUCCUCUCUCUUAUUUUCUCAUAAAACCCUAAUAACCGCCUCAAGAUUCUUUUCUCUUUCUUGUCCAGAAAUGGAAAGAAAUCAGAGCAUGCAGAGUUUUAAUAGGCUGGGUGUGUCCAUUUGCAUGAAACCAUUAAGGUUUAAACCUCGAUUUCUCUAUUUUCGUUCCAAACACGGUAAAACCGUUUCUCCUUUUACCUUUUCUUUGAUUUUGGGUAAAAAAUAAAAUUAUUUCUUGUAUAUUUUUUGUUGUAUUGCACUUGUACGUCCUCAUCUCUCAUUGGUUGAACUCGAAUCAACUGGAUUGAGAGAGGACAAGCUCAGAUCGAGCCGUUCGUCGUUGAUAUAGUUCGAUACAGACCGUAGAAUAUGUUUUGCUAAGUUAUUUUUUAGAAAAUAUGUCUUGUACCACAUGUUUGGUUUCACUAUUUUUCAUAGCUUUGGGAUUCUAUAAAUAGAACCCAACCUUACAAGUUAAACAAGUCUUGAAUACUCAAGUAGAGCACAAAAGCUUAAUAUUCGAGUUUCCACUUGAGUUUUGAGUUGUGCUUUAGUAAAAUUUUAUACUUAGCUUCUAAAAAGUUAGGUUUCUAGUCAAAAGUUUUUAAUUCUCUUUCUUAUGUGUGGCUGAGUUUGAGGAUUGGAAGCACUAGGGCUCCAAAUUUGAUCUUGUUCCCGGCUGCACAUCAAAAAAAUUUUGGAGGAAACGGGAUUCGAGUUUGGACAAGCGUAAAAGGCAAAUAAGGUACUCUCAGAUGAGUUGAAGAUAUUAUAGAAGAUGUUCCAGCAAAGAUGGCAAGCUCCAUUUGCUCCUGGAGGACUGCGGAGUCAGAGUGUAUGUGUUAUGGUUUAUGAUGAAUGUUAGAGACUUUGCAAACAACGUCAUGAGUAUUGGUUGUCAGUCUGUAAGAGGCUCCAUCAGCCGAUAUGUCCUUCUGCAUUAUGUAAUAAUUUUUUUUUUAUAAUUGUAGAUUUUGUUUAAAUUUGAGAACGGUAAAAGAAAUAUUUCGACAACUUAAUAUGUAUUUUACUUUUAUUUGAUUUUCAGAGUCCGAGGAAAAUAUAUGUGUAAUAAGAAUCUGUGGGUUCGCUCGGCUUCGGAUAUGGGGUCGGGUGCCCAUCACACCCUAGUGGAGUUAGGGUGUGACAAAGUGGUAUCAGAGCAGGUUUGUCCUAGGGGUUGUCUGCAAAGUCGUGUCCGGUAGGGUCCUGUUUAUGAUGUGAAGAGCGCCACAUUUAUAAACAGGAGGCUAUGGGGCAUCUAGGGAUUGUUGACCUUCUUUCUGUCAUAGAUCGUGCGAUAGAGCCAAGUCAUAGGAAAAAUGAAACUCUUUCUGUGAGCCUUACAUAUGAUGGAAGAAGGUAAGUGACGAUAUGGAAAGGUCACAAGGGCAAGUCUGGAUAUAUUUGUUCUGUUACUUGAGACAGAAAGUUCUGGGCAGCUAGAAUGUGAUAUAUAGCCGCAUGCUCUGUAAGGUGUUAUUGGUAUUUGUUGCGUACAAAUUUCAGAUGAUAAGAGUUUGUAAAGGUGACUAUCGAAGAUCAAAAAGGGUAAAACAGGUAAUUGUAAAAGAAAGGACGUGUCACGAGAAUGUCUCGGAAUCUGUAAGACCUCGACUAGCCCCAAAUCAUAUAAUAAGGGCCAUAUGAGAAAGCGGACGCGAUUAUAUCGAUAUUAAGGCAUUGAAUUCCACCGAAGUUUCGAGGUUAAGCGUGCUAAGGUGGGAGGAUGGGUGACCCCCCUGGGAAGUAUGCAAGAAUUUUAUAUAUUCCGAUAUAAGAGACGAAUGGAAAGCUAGAAUAGCCUGAGUGAAAUUAGAAUAUACGGGAUGGUUGGAGACCAUAAAAGGCCACAUAACACGCGAUGGGUUAGACUAGAGAAGAGACAGAAAGUAUGUCACGACUCUGGAAUUUGGAUAGGCUUGAA